GACGAACGCUGGCGGCGUGCCUAAUACAUGCGAGUAGAACGCUGAAGGAGGAGCUUGCUCUUCUGGAUGAGUUGCGAACGGGUGAGUAACGCGUAGGUAACCUGCCUGGUAGCGGGGGAUAACUAUUGGAAACGAUAGCUAAUACCGCAUAAGAGUAGAUGUUGCAUGACAUUUACUUAAAAGGUGCAAUUGCAUCACUACCAGAUGGACCUGCGUUGUAUUAGCUAGUUGGUGGGGUAACGGCUUACCAAGGCGACGAUACAUAGCCGACCUGAGAGGGUGAUCGGCCACACUGGGACUGAGACACGGCCCAGACUCCUACGGGAGGCAGCAGUAGGGAAUCUUCGGCAAUGGACGGAAGUCUGACCGAGCAACGCCGCGUGAGUGAAGAAGGUUUUCGGAUCGUAAAGCUCUGUUGUAAGAGAAGAACGAGUGUGAGAGUGGAAAGUUCACACUGUGACGGUAUCUUACCAGAAAGGGACGGCUAACUACGU
rnacentral:rRNA from 1 species